rnacentral:rRNA from 1 species
GACGAACGCUGGCGGCGUGCUUAACACAUGCAAGUCGAACGGAAAGGCCCUGCUUUUGUGGGGUGCUCGAGUGGCGAACGGGUGAGUAACACGUGAGUAACCUGCCCUUGACUUUGGGAUAACUUCAGGAAACUGGGGCUAAUACCGGAUAGGAGCUCCUGCUGCAUGGUGGGGGUUGGAAAGUUUCGGCGGUUGGGGAUGGACUCGCGGCUUAUCAGCUUGUUGGUGGGGUAGUGGCUUACCAAGGCUUUGACGGGUAUCCGGCCUGUGAGGGUGACCGGCCACAUUGGGACUGCGAUACGGCCCAGACUCCUACGGGAGGCAGCAGUGGGGAAUAUUGCACAAUGGGCGGAAGCCUGAUGCAGCAACGCCGCGUGCGUGAUGACGGCCUUCGGGUUGUAAACCGCUUUCGCCUGUGACGAAGCGUGAGUGACGGUAAUGGGUAAAGAAGCACCGGCUAACUACGUG